rnacentral:lncRNA from 1 species
UAGGAGACUAUCUCCUAUAUGAGAACUAUUCUCAGGUUCUUCAACCAUUCAAUGAAUUUCGGUCAAUUUAAAAAAUAUCAAAAAUAUCAUGCAGUGAUAGUGAAGAUGCAAAUAUAUAAGAACAUAAAAAGAAUACUCAUGAUGACAUACAUAAUUUAGAUAAGAUUUUAAUCUAAUUAUGUCUUCCACUAGUUUAACAAAUUUCAUAGCCCUCAAGUAUGAAAAAUGAGGAAACCUACCAUCUAGCUCCUUAGUGGGGUUGAAAUCUCAAUUCCUCAUAAAA